rnacentral:rRNA from 1 species
AUUGAACGCUGGCGGCAGGCCUAACACAUGCAAGUCGAACGAGUGGCGGACGGGAGAGUAAUGUCUGGGACACGGCCCGAUGGAGGGGGAUAACUACUGGAAACGGUAGCUAAUACCGUAUACAUUCGGAUGUGCCCAGAUGGGAUUAGCUAGUAGGUGGGGUAACGGCUCACCUAGGCGACGAUCCCUACCUGGUCUGAGAGGAUGAACAGCCAAACUGGAACUGAGACACGGUCCAGACUCCUACGGGAGGCAGCAGUGGGGAAUAUUGGACAAUGGGCGCAAGCCUGAUGCAGCCAUGCCGCGUGUAUGAAGAAGGCCUUCGGGUUGUAAAGUACUUUCAGCGGGGAGGCGUUACUCGCAGAAGAAGCACUGGCUAACUCCGUGCCAGCAGCCGCGGUAAUUC